UAACGCGUGGGUAACCUGCCUUAUACAGGGGGAUAACAGUCAGAAAUGGCUGCUAAUACCGCAUAAGCGCACAGAGCUGCAUGGCUCAGUGCGAAAAACUCCGGUGGUAUAAGAUGGACCCGCGUUGGAUUAGCUGGUUGGUGGGGUAACGGCCCACCAAGGCGACGAUCCAUAGCCGGCCUGAGAGGGUGAACGGCCACAUUGGGACUGAGACACGGCCCAG
rnacentral:rRNA from 1 species